rnacentral:rRNA from 1 species
UUUGAUCCUGGCUCAGAUUGAACGCUGGCGGCAGGCUUAACACAUGCAAGUCGAGCGGGGAAGGUUACUUCGGUAACUGACCUAGCGGCGGACGGGUGAGUAAUGCUUAGGAAUCUGCCUAUUAGUGGGGGACAACAUUCCGAAAGGAAUGCUAAUACCGCAUACGUCCUACGGGGGAAAGCAGGGGAUCUUCGGACCUAGCGCUAAUAGAUGAGCCUAAGUCGGAUUAGCUAGUUGGUGGGGUAAAGGCCUACCAAGGCGACGAUCUGUAGCGGGUCUGAGAGGAUGAUCCGCCACACUGGGACUGAGACACGGCCCAGACUCCUACGGGAGGCAGCAGUGGGGAAUAUUGGACAAUGGGCGGAAGCCUGAUCCAGCCAUGCCGCGUGUGUGAAGAAGGCCUUUUGGUUGUAAAGCACUUUAAGCGAGGAGGAGGCUCCUUUAGUUAAUACCUAAAGUGAGUGGACGUUACUCGCAGAAUAAGCACCGGCUAACUCUGUGCCAGCAGCCGCGGUAAUACAGAGGGUGCGAGCGUUAAUCGGAUUUACUGGGCGUAAAGCGUGCGUAGGCGGCUUUUUAAGUCGGAUGUGAAAUCCCUGAGCUUAACUUAGGAAUUGCAUUCGAUACUGGAAAGCCAGAGUAUGGGAGAGGAUGGUAGAAUUCCAGGUGUAGCGGUGAAAUGCGUAGAGAUCUGGAGGAAUACCGAUGGCGAAGGCAGCCAUCUGGCCUAAUACUGACGCUGAGGUACGAAAGCAUGGGGAGCAAACAGGAUUAGAUACCCUGGUAGUCCAUGCCGUAAACGAUGUC